AGAAUUCUUAUCUACUAUGGACGUAUGAUAUAUCACUAGAGAAAGAAAACUCUUAAAAGAUGAGAAGAUUAUGCUAGAUACUGAUAAUAUUUA
rnacentral:ncRNA from 1 species